rnacentral:rRNA from 1 species
CGGGUGCACUGAUCCAGCCGGGCCCUUUCCCUCUGUGGAACCCCAUGGCCUUCACUGGCUGUGGUGGGGAAACAGGACUUUUACUUUGAAAAAAUUAGAGUGCUCCAGGCAGGCCCUAUGCUCGAAUACAUUAGCAUGGAAUAAUAGAAUAGGACGUGUGGUUCUAUUUUGUUGGUUUCUAGGACCGCCGUAAUGAUUAAUAGGGACAGUCGGGGGCAUCAGUAUUCAAUUGUCAGAGGUGAAAUUCUUGGAUCUAUUGAAGACUAACUACUGCGAAAGCAUUUGCCAAGGAUGUUUUCAUUGAUAAGGAACGAAAGUUAGGGGAUCGAAGACGAUCAGAUACCGUCGUAGUCUUAACUAUAAACUAUGCCGACUAGGGAUCGGACGAUGUUAUUCUUUGACGCGUUCGGCACCUUUCGAGAAAUCAAAGUGCUUGGGCUCCAGGGGGAGUAUGGUCGCAAGGCUGAAACUUAAAGAAAUUGACGGAAGGGCACCACCAGGGGUGGAACCUGCGGCUUAAUUUGACUCAACACGGGGAAACUCACCAGGUCCAGACACAGUGAGGAUUGACAGAUUGAGAGCUCUUUCUUGAUUCUGUGGGUGGUGGUGCAUGGGCCGUUCUUAGUUGGUGGAGUGAUUUGUCUGCUUAAUUGCGAUAACGAACGAGACCUUAACCUGCUAAAUAGCCCGUACUGCUUUGGCAGUUCGCCGGCUUCUUAGAGGGACUAUCGG